GCUGGGAUGGCCGAGUGGUUAAGGCGCUGUGUUUAGGUUCUCUAUCAGAAACCAGACCCGCAGUGGGAAACCGCCUGGGUUCAAAUCCCAGUUCCAGCA